UACGGGGGGGGUAAGCGUUGUUCGGAAUUACUGGGCGUAAAGGGCUCGUAGGUGGCCAACUAAGUCAGACGUGAAAUCCCUCGGCUUAACCGGGGAACUGCGUCUGAUACUGGAUGGCUUGAGUUUGGGAGAGGGACGCGGAAUUCCAGGUGUAGCGGUGAAAUGCGUAGAUAUCUGGAGGAACAUCGGUGGCGAAGGCGGCAUCCUGGACCGGUAUUGACGCUGAGGCGCGAAAGCCAGGGGAGCAAACGGG
rnacentral:rRNA from 1 species